CCCCUCUCAGGGUCUCACAUGGAGAGUUUCUAGUACUCUACCAGUCUCAGCUACAGGAGGGAGAGUCAAGCAGAGGCAUAUCCAUUCCAUUACUAGCUUGGACAGUGGCUAGCAAGUGGAAGGCAAUCUGCUACAAGU
rnacentral:snoRNA from 1 species